rnacentral:rRNA from 1 species
AGAGUUUGAUCCUGGCUCGGACGAACGCUGGCGGCGUGCCUAAUACAUGCAAGUCGAGCGGACCGACGGGAGCUUGCUCCCUUAGGUCAGCGGCGGACGGGUGAGUAACACGUGGGUAACCUGCCUGUAAGACUGGGAUAACUCCGGGAAACCGGGGCUAAUACCGGAUGCUUGAUUGAGCCGCAUGGUUUAAUUAUAAAAGGUGGCUUUUAGCCACUUACAGAUGGACCCGCGGCGCAUUAGCUAGUUGGUGAGGUAACGGCUCACCAAGGCAACGAUGGUAGCCGACCAGGGUGAUCGGCCACACUGGGACUGGCCCAGACUCCUACGGGAGGCAGCAGUAGGGAAUCUUCCGCAAUGGACGAAAGUCUGACGGAGCAACGCCGCGUGAGUGAUGAAGGUUUUCGGAUCGUAAAACUCUGUUGUUAGGGAAGAACAAGUACCGUUCGAAUAGGGCGGUACCUUGACGGUACCUAACCAGAAAGCCACGGCUAACUACGUGCCAGCAGCCGCGGUAAUAGUGGGUUGUCCGGAAUUAUUGGGCGUAAAGCGCGCGCAGGCGGUUUCUUAAGUCUGGCCCCCGGCUCAACCGGGGAGGGUCAUUGGAAACUGGGGAACUUGAGUGCAGAAGAGGAGAGUGGAAUUCCACGUGUGAAAUGCGUAGAGAUGUGGAGGAACACCAGUGGCGAAGGCGACUCUCUGGUCUGUAACUGACGCUGAGGAAGCGUGGGGAGCGAACAGGAUUAGAUACCCUGGUAGUCCACGCCGUAAACGAUGAGUGCUAAGUGUUAGAGGGUUUCCCUUUAGUGCUGCAGCAAACGCAUUAAGCACUCCGCCUGGGGAGUACGGUCGCAAGACCGAAACUCAAAGGAAUUGACGGGGGCCCGCAGUGGAGCAUGUGGUUUAAUUCGAAGCAACGCGAAGAACCUUACCAGGUCUUGACAUCCUCUGACAACCCUAGAGAUAGGGCUUCCCCUUCGGGGGCAGAGUGACAGGUGGUGCAUGGUUGUCGUCAGCUCGUGAGAUGUUGGGUUAAGUCCCGCAACGAGCGCAACCCUUGAUCUUAGUUGCAUUCAGUUGGGCACUCUAAGGUGACUGCCGAAACCGGAGGAAG